UACAGAGCUUUGCAUGCCAGGAUGGAGACUGUAGCCAGGAGGUUUAUUAAACUGGAUGCACAGCGAAAACGCCUUUCUCCGGGUUCAAAAGAGUAUCAGAAUGUUCAUGAAGAAGUCUUACAAGAAUAUCAGAAGAUCAAGCAGUCCAGUCCCAAUUACCAUGAAGAAAAAUACAGAUGCGAGUAUCUUCAUAACAAGCUGGCUCACA